GCCGAGGCCGCGGGGAGGAACGCGGGGGACGGGCGGGCCCCGGGAGGCCCGGGCUGGGGGGCAGACGGGGCUGCGACGCGAGGGAGCCAGGCCAAAGCCAGGGGAGCGCGCCACGCCGCCCUCAGAAACCUCCGCCGCCUCGGGGUCGCCGCGGGACAGAGCUCGGGCUUCUGGCCUCUCACCUCCCUCUCCGAGUACCCGCCGUAUUCCCCGCGCUGACACCCUGUUCCUGCAUUUGCUGCUCAUUCCGACGCCUCCAAGCUUUUACUCUUGUUCUUUGCUCACCCUGCUGUCCUCCUUGUAUUUCCCCCUGGUGAACCUGACCUCGGUGUGACCUCAGCCUAGGACUCAAAGCUCCCUCUCUCUCUUAGGCUGGGCCCCAGACAGCCUAGCGAGCGGCGUCCCUGCGCACCCCAUCCCUAGGCCCCUUCCCUGGGUUGCCCAAACCUACAGCAUGUUCGUUGGCGGACCGUGCCUUCCUGAAACCUCUUGAUUUCUGAUUGCCAGUUAGACACUGGGGACUGAGAGUUAGGACUCCGAGCCCAACGCACCUCCUCUUUCUCCCCAGCGUCUUCCUUCGCGGGUUUCAUUACUUUUUUCUUUCUUUGUUUUUUUUUUAGUUUCUGGCACAAAAAUCAACUCACCCUUGUUCCCAGGAGCAGAGCCAUUUCUGCCCCUCUCCUCACACUCUGGCCUGGUGUAUGCUGGCUAAGCUUUGAACAAGCCCAGAAGGAGUCCAGUACUGCCCUGCAGGGCGGCAUGGGGGUGUCCUGCUCUGCCUGCGACUUGCCCUUUGCCGCCCCCCCCCCCCCCCCCCCCGCGGAAUACCACUUUCUGGCCCCAGCUGACUCCCAUCCUGUUGGGGGACCUCCAAGUGUGCAGUUGGGGAGCCACCCACAUCGACCUAGAUGAGGGGUCCCAGGGGACACUGCUGGGCCUCCUAUCACCCCGGAGGCUCCCCUACCUUCUCUCUGACUUCUCGCCUCUUCUCCAUGUCUCCCUCCCCAUCACCUGCAGGACCUGUGGCUCCCACCCGGACUUCCCCAGGUGUCAGCUUUAACCCUGGGUGAGAUUAUCAAAGGUAGGUCUCUCCCUAGGGUGAAUUCUUCUGCCAGUCUCUUUCCUGACUCUAAAUCCUUGCUCCUCCCAGCGUGGGCCCUGGACCACCAGCAUCAGCGCUACCUGGAGCUUGUUAGAAAGGCAGAAUCUUAGGUGCUUCCCCGGGUUCGCUGAAUCGGAACCUACAGUUUUACAAGAGCCCAGGGGACGUAUGCACCCAUCACGGUUGGGAAGCGUUGCUUUAGAGAAACCCUCACAGCUUUCUGCACUUGCUUCACGCCUCUCUCUGACCUUCAAACCUACCUCUGGCUCUCUACAUUUCCAGCAGACAGCCUACCUCUUCCUUCACGGAGAGGAUCUGGGGAAUGGCGGCCGGAUCCUGCCUGUCUCUCUCAGCCGUUCGUGGUUUUCAUCCAUUCUCAGUCUUAUCGCCCAUUCUGUUCUGUCCUUGCACCCCCGAAAAACAUGCGGACCCAGGGACCCCUUUACUAAGUCCCAUCUUCUCUACCUCCUGAUGCUGCCCCAUCUGGUCAUCCUUCUUUCCUCUGCUCAGACCUCCGCAUUCUUAAAGGAACCCUCCCCUUGUCCCCGCCUCUCCCGCCAACAUGUGCCCCUCCUGUGUCUGAGAGUCCUGGGAGCACUCCACCAAGGAUGCCUCCCCAGCCCCCCGCAAGCCACUCCGAAACCCUGGCGGUCUGGCUCCCUUCCAGCUCUGCCGCUGUUUGCUCUUUUCUCAGGCCUCAGGCCCUCUGACUCCCUGCGGCACUGGGCUCUCCAGCCUCCCCCCUCCCUCCCAGGGAAGCCAUCCAGAUGGUCAGACCACUCUGCCUCUCUUGACCCCGUGAGUACCCCGGGCUGCUGUGCCUUGCUGCCUUCUCCCUCCUCCCCUCAGAGAGCCGGUGAUCUUCCACAGCCUCAGAGGCUGUCUUGGGGACGUGAUCUCCUAGUGUGGGCCUCCGUCCUGCUUCCGCCAGCCCUGAAUAUCAGCCGCACCUCCUCCUGACGCCCAUCAGGCUUGGAGCCCAGGGGUUCAUCUCGGAUACUUUCCUCACCCUGACCACAGCCAACUCUUUGUCAGAUUGUAAGGAUUCCCCCUCGGGGUCCUCUUCCCUGCCCCAGUGCCCACAGUGAGUAUCUUUAACAAUGAAACUUAUUGGUCCUCUACCGGACUCCACUCUGGCUUGGAGGAGAACUCCGCCCUUGUCUGAUGAUGACCUUCGUAGCUAUCUCCCUGCCCCCAGCUGCCCAGCCCAGUCACCCUCCAUUCUCCUGCCACCACUUGCUUAGAAACUUCCAGAUGUUCAUGGCUCCCCGAGUAGACAUUUAGGGACUUAGUUUAGGGACAUUCUGAGCCCUUUGAUGCCUGAUCUGGAUGUCCCUUGCCACUCUUCCCUCCAUUCCCUUUCUGUGCUAGUCCCUUGCUUACCUGACACCAAAGAUCUUACUCCUCCCCCAACACAGGCUACCACUGUCAACAACAGCAGGCCUUUCAUCUGGCUGGUUCCUGGGGGGGGGGGGGGGGGGAGGGUGUGCCCCCACCUUUCUUCUCUGGAAGCAACAGGGUCCACGUUCCUCUUCAUGACGGUUGAAGGGCUUGGCUGUUGCAGAUCUUCACGGCUCUAGAAGACUCUUCCCAAAGUAGGGUUGGGGUAUGGGUGCUCAGAGUUAACCCGGGGCAGAAAGGGACUGUUAAUGGCAUUGAGCUAAGACCAGGUUGGAUGGGCUCCUGACUUGUAUGGGUUUCUAUUAUUAACCACAUGGACUAGAAAGAAACCAACCAGGAUGGUGUCUGAGGCUUCCCAGGUCCUGCAGCCCCAGAGAAAGGCUUCUGGGUUAGAGCCACUGCACCAAGGGGCAAGGCCUCUGGGUGAUGACGGUUAUCGGUUGGGCCAGUAAAUGGAAGGCCAGCGAGGAAAGUCUGAGUCAGUCCUUGUGGUUGGAGGUAAGUGUCUCUGCUUUAGAUCCAGCAAGUCUGUUUCUUGGAAUUCCGGGUGUGUUUUUCUGUCUUGUGCUUCAUGGGCACCACGGUGCCUGGUGAACGAACACUCGGAGUCACUGCAGAGUGAGUGACCUGGGCUGUAAAGAUGCAGGGGCGAGUACUGGGGCCAGUACAGAAGAAGGGCCUGAGCCUGAGACCAGGACAGCAUCUGUAAAGGCCAGUAGAGCUGAACGCGUGGAUUUGCAGUAUGGGCUUCAAGGUGGAGCACCUGGAGCACCCCAGGGGAUGCAGGAGAGCAGAGCAUUUUUCCUGUAGGUCUGGGCCUUAAAACAGUAUUUCAAAAAUCAAAACUAACUCUCUGUCUCUCUCUCUCUCCCCCUCCCCCCUCCCUCUCUCCAAAAGGGGGCUGCAACACCACAGAAAACCAAUCCCAGGUGGUGCCUUAGGCACAAGGCUCCAGGCCAGGCUGAGUGUUGGGCCGCAGCGCCCCCUGGAGGCCCAGGAGAUUCAGGCACUUGGAUCCACUUCAAGGUCAAGUUUUCUGAUAGGAAUUAACAGAGGGACAGAAUAAACAUACUAAAGCAUCCACUAAAUACGGUUGUUCGCGUGUU